rnacentral:rRNA from 1 species
UACGUAGGGCGCAAGCGUUGUCCGGAAUUAUUGGGCGUAAAGAGCUCGUAGGCGGCCUGUUGCGUCCGCUGUGAAAUCCCGGGGCUCAACCCCGGGCCUGCAGUGGAUACGGGCUGGCUAGAGGCAGGCAGGGGAGAACGGAAUUCCUGGUGUAGCGGUGAAAUGCGCAGAUAUCAGGAGGAACACCAGUGGCGAAGGCGGCGACCUGGACGGACAUUGACGCUGAGACGCGAAAGCGUGGGGAGCAAACAGG